AUGCUCCUGAUAAUGUGGAAGGUUUACAGCCUCAAGCAAGAGCUGCUGCAACUAGCAAAGAGAAAUGGUGGCUCCCGAAUUCUCCAUCCUCCUUGUAAGAUGCUCAUCCUCAAGUGCUCCAUCAGCGCAACACAACCUUUGGCUCGCUUGUCACCCUCUGGUUUGGCAAGGCCAUCGUUUGAUACACCACCUACAGCAUGCGAAUGCCAGUUGAAGCACAGUUUGGGUGGCUCCUUCAGCACACUCAGAGCUUUGGAAUCCCAGAUUCAUCUGUGCAUCCUACGACAGACACCAGAGACUGUGCUUACCAGGGCAGUUGGUUUGGACACCUUCACCAACCCGGCCAAUACCGACCUGCCCAAUCUAGUGCUUAACAAUGCUCCAUGGGAUAAAACUCUGCAAUUAUGA
rnacentral:rRNA from 1 species